GAUGCUACGGAAAGACAAGGAGGAGGCAGAGGCCAUUAAACAUGCCAAGGCCCUGGAGGAGGAGAAAGCCAUGUACUCGGGCCGGCGUUCCCGGCGACAGCGAAGAGAAUUCAGGGAGAAGCGGCUGAGGGGCCGGAAGAUCAGCCCUCCCAGGUAGGGUUUCUCCCUGGGCCUGUUUACUCACCAGCCGGGCUGGGGGUGGAGCCCAGCCUUGCUUUCAGGAAAGGGUCAUUGUAAUGAUGCUCGGAGUGACAGUUACUAGUGAGGAGAAGCGGGGGAGGCUUGUGGGUACUUGCCUCUGCCUCCUGUCCCACCAACCCUGCUGGCCUGGGGACUCUUGGGGAGUGAACAGGAAGCUCUUGGGGAUGGCUAGAGGGACUGUGGCCAGAACUCAGGGCCCCAGUCACAGGCUGCUCACUGUCGCCUCUGUAGUGUCUAGAUAAGUCCUCCUUUCUUCUUCUAGCUACAGUUUCUUCCACUGGAAAGUGGGGAGAGUGGCCUGGCCCUUACCUCCCCACAUGGAAGUCUUGAGACAGGGUUGGGUGGAGCAGUUGCAGAUAGGAAAGUCUUGCCUGGUGGCCCUAGGCAAACCUCUCCUAAAGGAGCGGGAUAGAAAGCGGCUCUGAGGGUGGACUGCUCGGGGCCGGGCAGCCCUGAUCCUCCUCCUCGCUGCUUUUAGUUUGGCCCUGUCAGUGAAUCAACCAGAAAUGCUGGCUGCAGGCCAGAUGCCUGAGCUGAGACCUUCCUUCACUCAUGAACAGUGUGACCCUGGGCAAGUCACUCGUCCUCUCUGGACUGUUCCCUCUCCUAUGAAGAGAGAAUAGUCAGAGUUCUUGAAAAGAGGCACUGAGUUAAGUUAGGUAUGCUGUUGUUUUCACACCAGCAUCGGGGACCGGUUAUCCUGGAGAAGUGGCCUCCAGUGUGGGGUUGGAAAGCCGGGCAGCACCACGGCUGCUCAUGCUGUGCGAAGGAUACAGAUGUGGGGUCCCCAUAAGCAGGUGGGGUGCAUAGUCUUCAGCUCUAGGUGGGAUAGGCUCAGGCUCACACCGGCCCAGUCUCAGCUCUCCACUGUCCUUCCUGUUGUCUCCAUAGUUACGCCCGCCGAGACAGCCCCACCUAUGACCCCUAUAAACGGUCACCUUCCGAAUCCAGCUCCGAGUCCCGUUCCCGCUCUCGCUCCCCGAGCCCAGGGCGCGAGGAGAAGAUCACUUUCAUCACCAGUUUCGGAGGCAGCGACGAGGAGGCAGCAGCUGCCCGCCGCCGCCGCCGCCGCAUCGGGGGCCGCCCCCGGGAAGCCCCCCGCGCCCCCCCAGCCCGGCGGCCCCGCUCCAGGCCGCAAUGCCAGCGCCCGGUCGGUAACGCCCGCUUGCGCCCCAGCUAGCUGGCUAGCGGCGGCGGCGGGAGGGAGGAGGGGCGGGCCCGGCCCCAGGGCGGCGGCGCUGAUGGCCCCGUGCUCCCUGUGCUUGCUCCCGCAGCCGCCGCUCCUCCUCCACCUCCGCCUCCAGGACCUCCAGCUCCCGCUCCAGCUCGCGCUCCAGCUCGCGCUCCCGCCGAGGCUACUACCGCUCUGGGCGCCACGCGCGCUCGCGCGGCGCUCGCGCUCGCGCUCGCUCGGCUCCGCGCUCCCGCUCCUGCGCUUGGCGGUGGCGGUGGCGGUGGGCGACAGUGGGAGGGGAGGGGAGGGGAGGGGAGGCGGGGGACAGACCGCGCCUUCUCCCUUUUCCGCAAGCGCCCGGUGGGAAGCAGGACGGGGUAGGUGCCCAAAAUACGGGCCGGGGCAACCGUCACAGUGUUGA
rnacentral:lncRNA from 1 species